rnacentral:lncRNA from 1 species
GAUUAGGCUUCAAAUCAAAUUGUGAAGAAGAGAAACAGUGGAAUGAUUCGAGUAGACAUCUGAUAUUAUGCACCAAGGCAAAACAUCAAUUAUUUCAUGCCUUAAGACUGGUUAUGAAACACAAUCACAGGUUGCUCCAUCUGGUACCACAGUUUCUUUGGCCAAAGAAAUGAAUCAGCAAACACCACAACCAAGAAGGAACAUCAAGACCCCACAGCCUUCUUCAGAACUGGAAGGGAGACUCCUAGGAAUGAACUGGACCCAAAGUUCAAGAACCAGACAUCCCAGUCCCACCUCAGUUGAAUAUCUUGAUCCCAAAGUGGAAGCACAAAAGGCAUGGAAAAGACAUUCUCCAACACGUUCUUCCUCCCAGAUCUUAGAGGAAACAUUGACAAAAAAAGCCAAUUAGUAUUAAUAAUAGAGUCAUCUCUCUCUCUCUCUCUCUCUCUGAGAUUUCAAAGACUCGGAAUAAGCUAGGAAUCUGGGUUUCUGUACACAUCCUGAUACACUCUUCUGAUGUGUGUGUCAGCUGACAGUGUGGACCCAUAGUGGGUUGUGAUAAUCCAACGGCGUUUAUGGGGAAAAGUUGGCCUUAACUGACAACUGCCACAACUUCCCAAAGUUAGAGAAACUGUUACAGACAAGUAAUCAUUCAACCUUCUAAGAUUAAAAUACUUCUUCAGUGAUGUCGAGGAAACUUUCUCAUUCCUUUUCUAGGCCAGUAUGAAUGCAUCGGCGACUGGCUCUCCAAAAGACUUAUGACAUGGUGAGUGAAACACACAAGUGAAUAACCAUGGACAGUAGGCACCAUUGUUUUAUAUUUAGGGAGGCAGAACCAAAUCUAAAAUGAUGCAUGAUCAGGAGAGGAAUUCUUACACCUAGGUGUAAGGAUCUUGAAUGAGCUUUUCAAAAUCACUUGGAUGUUUGAAGGUGCUUUCAAGUUGGGGACAAAUGAUUUCCCUUCUCUUUUUAUGAAUGGAAUGGAACCAAAGGAACAGAAUGGGUGAAGGAUGUACAGGUUGAGAUGCAACUUAGGAUAAAUGUAGACAAACAUUAUCCAAAGAGUUAGGUUAUAUUGCUCUGUAUAAGAAUGUAACCCAUUCUUAUGCCCUAACAAGCUUAAGUCUGCCAAUGAAGAUGAUUACAAGACAAAAACACAACAGAAUAGGAAGGAAUCCAAUAAUGGAUUGCAUCAUGGUUUUUAUAACAAACCAUUGGCUUUGAAAAGUAGGGAGAAGAAAGAUAAAAGUGGUUCCUGCCACUUUCCCCUCAGAUCUUCCUAAAUAUAUGAUUAAAUCUAACCUAAAUCAGAAGUGAUGGAGAUACCAUGGCUUUUGCUGAAAGAUCAUGCAUACAGCUGGGGAGUCUGCCCAAACUCAAGAAAUAUUAUCCAAGGAAGAAAAGAUUGGUGUGGAAACUAGGACUGCUUCUCUGUCGGUUUUGACUAUUUCAUCAGCUACGAAGGGACAUUAUAAAAUGUUCUUCCCUUAUUCACACUCUGCCUAUUCCAAGACUAGAGACGACUUCAGAAGAAGGUUUAGCAUCUUCAGAUGAUGCGGAUGACCACUGACCAAGAUGUUGACAAGGGCUAAAGGUUCAGAUAUUAUAUCAAUUUGGAAUCCACUUUCAAAAUUUCUCUUGUUUCUUUGCAAGACCAAUCUGGACAAGGGUAUACAGGCAGCUUGGAAGAUGUUCUCGAGAAGUUGGACUGGCAGCAAGAAAGACACCUGCCAUUGUUUUGCUGUAAAUGACAUUUCCCUUUAUUGUCCUUUGCUAAAUUUUAUGGCUGAUUUUAACUCUGAUUCAUAUUUUUGACAGAUUUUACUAUCUAAUGGUUGCUGGCUGCAGAAAGCUAUCCAUUUGUAAAAUAAAUAAUCAGGGUUGUCCCAUUUAACAGAUAACUGAUAAUCAGAGUUGGAGGGGACCUUAUAGGUCAUCUAGUCCAACCCCCUGCCCAAGCGGGAGACCCUACACCAUUUCNUCCAACCCCCUGCCCAAGCGGGAGACCCUACACCAUUUCUGACAAAUGGCGGUCCAAUCUCUUCUUGAAAGUCUCAAGUGACACAGAUCUCAUAUACAAUAUGAGAUCUGUGACAAAACAAUCCAAUACCUCUUGAAAAGUUAUCCAGCUGGUUCAGUGAUCCAGUCUUGAUUCAAUGGAGCUUUUAAAAUAAUUGCUGAAAUAAAUCCAGUUGCUCGUCCUUUUUCUGAAUUCAAACUUCGAAGGGCCACAUUUAAGAACAUGUAGAAAAAACCCAUAGCUUGCUUUUCAAAAAUAGGUGCCCAUAAUUUAACAUCAGUGCAAAUGAAUACAGACCAUUUUUGUCUUCUUCUCUGGAAAGGGAAGGAUCUGGGAUACAGGCGACAGAAAGUUUGGAAUGAGCCAACAUGUAACUAAAUAAUGUGGCAAUAACAGUAUUCCCAAACUAAGAGAAUGGUAUAGCCUGCAGUGCACGAUGAAAAGCUGACCAUAUCAGGGCUGCACUACCUUGACCCUAACCUGCAAAGUGCUCAUUUUUAAUAUAGGAGUCGAGUCUUAAUUUUAAUAUCAGCCGGCAAGGUUGUACAAUUGAAGGAUAGGCCUGUCCAUCUUGAUCAAUUGGUGUAACCCAAAACCGGAGCUCACUUAUAGGAAUGAAUGAAGACGUUUCUGUUGGGUGAGAAAAGAUGCUGUCUUGGACCCAUUGCUUUCCUUGGUGGGUCUAUGGAAAAAAUGAGGUUAUAAAAAAAAAGCACAGUUUAUAGCAAGGAUGUUAGUGAGUUAAUAUGCACUAAAUACACCUUUACGAUGCUCGCUUCCCUUAAAAAAACAGCAAGGGAAGAAGAGCGAUGGAACAUGACAUUUCUUCUGUGGAGAUGAUCUACAACAGGAGUGGGGAACUCUGGGACUUUUGUAACUUGUGGGCUUCAACUCCCAGAAUUCAGCUUGUCGACAUGUGGACUUCAGCUCCCAGAAUUCCUGAGCCAGUCCACACUCCCAAAAGGACCAGAGUUCCCCACCUCUGAUCUACAGAAUGAGGCAGACACAUUUGAACACUUACCACACCACGUCUUCUAUUUUUAUGACUUUUUCCCUAACCUUUCUACUACCUGAGUGAUGUCAGUGUGAAUUCAGGCACCAUUAGUAAAGUUUUGACCAUGCAGAUACAGCACUGACAAAGAAGUAAAGACCCUCUCCGAUUACCAGCGUAUGUAAAAAAGACACCAAUGAAAUGGGAAGCCACCAACUCUUGAUCUACCACAGAUCCUCGCUUUCUUUUUUUGUUUUGUUUUGUUUUCCUACCCACUACCCCUGCAAAAAAAGAAAAAUUUGAAAAGCUAGCACUUUCUAGAACCCCCCCCUGGUCUUUCUCUUUCAGUCCCUUACUACCUAACAGUAUGUCCUAAGUAAGAAAAAGAAUGAAAUAAAUAUUU